AUGGACGGAACCGCGACUGAAGCAAGACGGAUGUUGAGACGGAGGUGUGAACGAAGAAGAAGAAAGAGCGAAUUCCGGAUGACGGAUAAGGAAGUCGCUCAGCCACAGAAGAGGAUGAUCAGCGGUGACGGAAUAGAGAAGGACUUCGUGGUUGAGACGACGGCGACGGACGGAAAGGUUUGGUUUGAAUUAGGUGCCGCUGUGUUUUGGAGAAGAAGAGAGGAAGUAAAGCUCUGUUUCACGUGA